GGCCGGUUGGUCUAGUGGCAUGAUUCUCGCUUAGGGUGCGAGAGGUCCCGGAUUCAAUUCCCGGACAGGCACA
rnacentral:tRNA from 1 species